rnacentral:lncRNA from 1 species
GUAAUUGAGUGGGUGUGCAGGUGAGAGUUUCCACUUAAUAGGUUGCCUCUCCUGUGCUGUCACUAGGAAGAACAGAGGGUAGUGACACUGGGAGAAAAGGAGAGCGGAGAGACGGAGAGAGAGAGAGGCUCUACACAUCAUCCGCAGCUGAUACAGACAGUUUCAUCCUCAGACUUUUGCUCAACGCUACACACGGACUGGACUAAGGGCUCCUACUCCCUCCAGAAGACUAUGGCCUCAACUGCUUUUUUUAAAGACACAGGCCUCCUGCUCUUCUUACUACUGGGACUGCAGCCAUCGUCAUUUGUUUCAGGACAAAACACAAACUCAAGUUCCAAUUCAACGACCAAUGCUUCAUCAACUGUGAUGUCAACUGGCAUGAGUACUGACUCUGCAGCAACUAUCGUGACAGCUACCACAGCUCAAACUACAAUGUCGUCUGCCAUUUCUUCUACGAAUACUACAAUGUCUUCUGCAGGGUUGGAUAUCCUGUCGACAGUUCUCCUGUAACUACUCAGACUGCUACAAUGUGUACAUGAAUAUGACUUCUGUUUCAUGCAACGCUAAUAUCACCUUCUGUGAGCUGAAGAGACAGGAAGACAUGACUUACACCGGUGGCUGCAGUUCCUCCUGCAGUAAUGCCUGUGUCAACGACACUCAGACCAACUGUACCAUGGGAUGCUGCAACUCCACUGGCUGUCUUAGCUCUACCCUGGCCUCCAUUUUUGGCACAAACACUACAACAGUGACUACAGUGAUGAUGACCACCACCACCACAACAACAGCAGCAGCCACCACUACAACUGCUGAACCAACCAAUAAACUUAAGAAGUGCCAGAUGUUUCAGUGCACAGAGCAGGACUGUUACAAGACUUGGAUAACCAAAGACCCAAUGCCUUGUCCCCUCAACCAGCCCUACUGUGAGCUGAAAAAGAUAACAACUGGUUCAUCAACAACCUGGAUGGGAGGCUGCAAUGCCAACUGCACAAUAAACACCUGGUGUACGACCACAACAGAUACAUGCCACCAAGAGUGCUGCAACACCUCCAUGACCUCCUGCCUCAAGCUGGAUGGUACUCUGAACGUUCCUUCUUCUGCCACUAGGGGUCUGCACUUCCCUUUAGCAAUGUUCACUGCUGCUCUGCUGGUUUGUCUGCUCAGCAUUGGUUCUCUGGCUUAAACUGGGUCGUGUUCAGUAGGUACCAAGCGGGGGAAAAAAUUAUUGAAAGAGGGAGGAAAUACCUUGACUUGUCCGUUGCAAAAUGGUUUAAAACGUUGCCUGUCGUGUGACUUAAUGAACACAACCCUGAUGUGUCGACCUACUGAGCCAUUGCUUGAAUAAUAUACAGCGAGCGGUAGUAGUUAGCACAGCAAAACCUGGUUCCAUUCCACAUGAAUACUAUACUGGUUGUAGGUCUAGCCUACUCUUUUUUUGUUUGUUUGUUUGUUUGCUUGUAUAUGAGAUGUAUUGAGAUACUGUAUAUGAAGGCUCAUAUGUGCUUUUGAGAAAUUUAGGCAAUUUAAGUGAUAAUGAUUCCCCUAUGUGAGUCCAAACCAAAUGGGUUUAAAGGGUAUUAUUGAAGAAUAUGACGAUUAAUAUGGCUACAGAAAGCUAUUCGACCAUACCAUCAUACCCAUUUUAUAAAUCAGUAAUGCGUAAAACAUAAUCCACUGAAGAUGAUAGCUAUUUAUGAUCAUAGAUGACUGACUUAAUGUAUGGUAUGAUAAUUCAUUAUCUGCUUUUUGAUACUUAUUGAGAUUUGUGUAAGUUGAAGUUUACAAUUAUGACAUUUUCAUAAAUGUCCUCUUUUUUUAGGCACACUGUUAUUUUCUUUCGCCAGUGGUUUGCAUGAUGACUUGCAUGUUUUCUUUGAUUUUGCACUUGCAAAGACCUUCCAGCCUGGUCUCAGAUCUGGUUGUGCUCUUGCUCACUCAAUUGCUCAUUGACAAACCAAACAUGCCCAGGACAAGGAGUUGGCAUGAUAGCACAAACAGACUGGCACUCAGGCUAAAGACUUUCUCCAAUACAAAAGCAAACAUCUGUUCUUUACAGAUAUUGCAUAAUAACUCAGUUAUUACCUAGUCCUAGAUAGCAUAUUGUGAAGGACAGAUUGACAAUUUAUGCACUUAUAAACAUUUUUAAAAAACAUAUAUAUUGGGCUAUAGAUGGUGUUUGAAAUAUUUGUGCUGACACAUUGAGGUGUAAUUCAUAUCUGUGAAUGUAGUCAUACACUGUAUAACUGUAAUGUGUGUUUUACUCCUUUUAUUAUGUAGCUGUAUUCUCAUUUAUAAUUCACCAUCAUAACAAUAUGGAAAUUGAUUUAUAAAAAUUGGAUUAUAAAAAUGUCAAAGUGUUUAUUUUUGCAGUAGUUUCAUGGAAAGUUGACAUACAAGACCUGAUAUGUCAUAUCUAAUACUUGG